rnacentral:ncRNA from 1 species
UGGUCCUUUUUUUUUGGUUAAAUGGGAAUACGAAAAAGACUAAAAACAAAUCGUAGCCGUACCCGCGACCGUAAAUAAAAGAGAAUAUUAACACUGAGAAAUACUCUUGGGAAGUUGGUAUUCAUAAAGCUGUGCUUUACUUUUAAUAGCCGGGAGACCUGCCAGUAAAAAA